AACGAACGCUGGCGGCAGGCCUAACACAUGCAAGUCGAGCGGACCCUUCGGGGUUAGCGGCGGACGGGUGAGUAACGCGUGGGAAUAUGCCCUUCUCUACGGAAUAGUCCUGGGAAACUGGGGGUAAUACCGUAUACGCCCUUUGGGGGAAAGAUUUAUCGGGGAAGGAUUAGCCCGCGUUGGAUUAGGUAGUUGGUGGGGUAAUGGCCUACCAAGCCGACGAUCCAUAGCUGGUUUGAGAGGAUGAUCAGCCACACUGGGACUGAGACACGGCCCAGACUCCUACGGGAGGCAACAGUGGGGAAUCUUAGACAAUGGGGGCAACCCUGAUCUAGCCAUGCCGCGUGAGUGAUGAAGGCCUUAGGGUUGUAAAGCUCUUUCAGCUGGGAAGAUAAUGACGGUACCAGCAGAAGAAGCCCCGGCUAACUCCGUG
rnacentral:rRNA from 1 species